CCAGCCAAAAUGGAUAACGUGAUUUUUAGUCAAUCCACUUCACAUUUAAAAUAGUUUUUCUCUGAUGACUUACAUCUAUAUUAGGGACUAAGGAGAACAUCAAAAUAAUAUUUAUGUAUAUAACCUGUCAAAUACAUUUUAUAAGUUUUAGCUAAAAUAACUUGCAAAAUAACAGGGCCAUGCUGAUAAUAUGUUAUUUUCAAAUAGUUCAUAACUGUAAUUGGAUGUUAUAUAAAGUCUAAUAAAAGCAAAAAGUUGUUGUCAGUGGGGGCAUUAACAUGUUAUUUGUCAUAAAAGGGAUCUAUUUUCUGAAACAAGAACCCAGUGUGUUUUGAUGUCAAGGUUGAAUUUUCACUAUUCUUUCUGAUUAUUAUAUAAGCUAGUCUUCAAAGCAAGAAGAUCUGAAGUGCUAAUUACUCGGAUGUUCAGAAUGCUGAUAAAAACCACAGUGCCAAGAUCUUCUUAAGAUGACAUACACCUACACACGAUCCAGCCAUUUGUCCGUGGGAAUUUCGCCACUUCCAUCUACUGGAUGCUGUGAAUGUAUUCCAC
rnacentral:lncRNA from 1 species